rnacentral:rRNA from 1 species
UACGUAGGGUGCAAGCGUUAAUCGGAAUUACUGGGCGUAAAGCGUGCGCAGGCGGUUAUGUAAGACAGAUGUGAAAUGCCCGGGCUUAACCUGGGAACUGCAUUUGUGACUGCAUGGCUAGAGUUUGGCAGAGGGGGGUAGAAUUCCACGUGUAGCAGUGAAAUGCGUAGAUAUGUGGAGGAACACCGAUGGCGAAGGCAGCUCGCUGGGACGGUACUGACGCUGAGGCGCGAAAGCGUGGGGAGCAAACAGG